rnacentral:lncRNA from 1 species
CCUCGUCCGGACUCGGAUUUGGUCACCGUUUGCGCUCACGAAUUCCUAUCGAGACGUACUUCGAUCUCAUGUCUUCAAAAUCCUCCAAUUAAUCCUUGAUUUUCCCUGAAAUCACUCCAAAACUACACCAAGGAAUCAAAACUCAAAAUUGGGAUACAAACACAUAUUAACAAUCAAUUCAUGGGGGAAAAUGACAACAAUUCAUGCGAUAUUGAGGUAGAAAAACCAUGUUUGUCAGCGACAUGAGGGCUGGUGGCCUCAUGAGAUUGAGGUGAUUCAUGAUGCUGUUAGACUGGAUAUUUCAUGUCAUAGUCAUAUUCGGAUCGCAGGUUAGCUGGAAGCUUUUGUUUGGAUGGCGAUCGUGGGCGUUUUGGAAGGGCUGCGUUGAUGAGCUGCGCUGCCACUUUGGUUUUUGGAGUUGCUUUUGGCGUGGUCGUUACUUGUUGGGCAGAUCGCGCAAUCGGAGUUUUCACAGCGUUUUAGUCUCCGGCGACGGCCUCAUUCCGGCCGAAACUAUUCGUUUUAUUUCUUUGGUUUUUGCUUGGGUGGUAAUCUCGGCGACGGAGUAUAACCGGCCGAUGUUUUAUCAUUUUAGCUCUGAUCUUGGUUCUGUGGUAAGCUCACGGCGACGGCAUCUAACCGGCCGUGUUGCUUACUUUUGUUUGUCUUCUUUGUUCGAGCUAACGGCGACGGAGUCUAACCGGCCGUAUAGCUUUCCUUUCUGGGCUACUUGGCGACGGCGUCUCACCGGCCAGUUGCCCCUGUUCGGUCUUUUUUGCGGGGUGAGAGCCGGGUUGGUUUGGGGACGAUGGUUAGGCCGGAGUUCCGGAAACUUACCCCUCCGCUCUCUCCCCCCUUCUUUUCGUUUUUUAGACGGGUACUCUUUUUCCUUUCUACGGUUUUUCCCUCUGGGUUUUCUGUAGAAAGGUUUUAAUGAGGCUCGGCCCUUAGUCUGCUUCUCCUGUGCUUUCAAGGGUUUUUUUUUAGGUUUUUCUUUUCCUUUUUAAUAAAAUCGCAUUUUAAUUAAUAUGUGCCCACUGAGUACUUUUGUACUCAGCUCUGCAUGUAUUUCUAAAUGUGCAGGUUGAGCAGUAGCCGGUGGUGAUGAAGUGACGAGCGGGAUCUUCUUUUGUCCUAAUAUUAUAUGUAUUGAUUAACUCUUGGGUACAUGUCUUCAUACAUGUAAUCAGAAUUUCUAUUCCGCUGCGUACUUAGAAGUCUUAUGUUAUUUUGACUAAGUCGGAGUUAUCCGAACUUACUAGUUUAUUUGAGUCAAUAUGACUAAACCUCUGAUAUAUUAUAAAUAACUCCUUCGUUAUCGAUGAUUAAGUACAAUUCUUCACUAUUUAUUUACUAUUUCUAUUCCCACUUCUUACCUCCCUCCCUUAGUCACAGUUUUCCCGGUCCAAUUAUCCUUAAUUAGGUCUGGUCGUGACAUGGAGACCAAGCCCUUUAAGGGGAGGUUCAUAACAACCCCAAUUCCUUAGGUUGUCUUUGUCCUCGUCCAUAUAAUCUACAUAUCUAGGGAAGUAACAACAUUAAUUAAAGGGUUAAUUGCAUGAAAAUACACGAACUUUAGUCGCAAUUUCAGUUUGCACAUGACUUUUGAAACUUACAUUUUUAAUCAUGAACUUUGCAUUUGUUCCAAAUUUUCCUUAAAAUUGAGCUCCGGCAACCGGAAAGAUGACGUGUCUUCAAACAUGCCACGCGUAUGUGACACGUCAUUAAUUCAAACGACGUGGCACAAAACGACGUCAUUUUAAUACCGUGUUUAUCAAUCCCCAAAUCGAAAACCCUAGCUCCCUCAAUCUCAGCCAUUAGCAGCGGCGCUCUCCGCCGUCAAAUGAGGAGAAAAGGGGUAUCGACGGCGUGAACUGUACGUCGUAUUAGUGUGGGCGUGUGAUUUUAAUUUCGAAGAGAAGUAUCGCCGAUUUUGAUUCCAAAAAUUAGAGGAGAAAAUGAGGGAUGGUGCUGCGUGAAACCUUGCAGAAAUUAGAAGGAAUAGGCAAUUGCUCUGAAUUUUGGGAGUGAGAGGAGUAUCGCCAUUCUGAUUCCAAGCUCCGGCGCUGAUGUUGUAGUGGUUUCCGAUUGAUUUUUGGACGGUCCUAGCAUUAAAAUCAGUAAUUGAAGCAGCAACAACAAUCUUAGCAUUAAAAUCCAGCCUCAUUGCUGCCGCCGCGACCGGCGACAACUUCUGAUUUUUUCAGAGCUCGUUGUAAUGAUGUCAAGGCAGCGUGAGCCGUUUCCAGCAAUUGUGGGGUAGAGGCGGUUGCGAUUUGAGAAGAGAAAAACUUCUGGCUGUUUAAAUGGCGUCGUUUUACAAAAACGACGUCGUUUCCAUGUCUGCAAACUUCCAGCUGUUUAAAUGGCACAUGCCCGGCUGCCACAUAGGCGCCACAUCAGCCUCUCCGGUGCCGGAGCUCAAUUUUAAGGAAAAUUUGGAACGAAUGUAAAGUCAUGAUUUAAAAUGUAAUUUCAAAAGUCAUGUGCAAAAUGAAAUUGCGACUAAAGUUCGUGUAAAUUAGACAAUUAAACCUUAAUUAAAUUAAGCCCCAACAUUUAGUAGAACCCAAAAUGCAUUUUCUAAUGUAGAAACCAAAAAAUCAACAGAUUUGCGCAGCAAAGGUAAAAGCAAUGCCAUCAAUAUACAAACAGAAAUCUUUUACAAAGAAUAAACGUGUGAACAUGUUAAAUACCAUAACUGAAUACCAUCAAAUGCAGCAUGUAUAAUCAAAAUCCAAUCAAAAACAUCACAAAAAAUAUAAAUUCUGAGCAUUUCAACAAGAAGACAACCAAAUCUCAACAAAAGAAAAACCUCUUCAUCACCAAUCCAACAACCAACUAGAAUAAACCACUAAAUAUGAAAGCAACAUACACCCGCCACAUAACAUAUAUACAUCAUACAUAUAUAUAUAGGGUUAGGUUCAAUGAAAAAGACCUAAAUGUAUGAAAGAAGAGAGAAGUAAUCUCAUCCGUUGAUCUUAUAUAAUCUAACGGACAUGAUUUGUUCACGCCAUGUUCAACGGAUUUUUCGUUGAACAUANNNNNNNNNNNNNNNNNNNNNNNNNNNNNNNNNNNNNNNNNNNNNNNNNNNNNNNNNNNNNNNNNNNNNNNNNNNNNNNNNNNNNNNNNNNNNNNNNNNNNNNNNNNNNNNNNNNNNNNNNNNNNNNNNNNNNNNNNNNNNNNNNNNNNNNNNNNNNNNNNNNUAAUAUAUAUAUAUAUAUAUAUAUAUAUAUACUUAUACAUGAAUACGUGCAAGCAUGUAAAUAUGCAGAUAGCUUACCUCCAAAUGAAACUAUGAAGUAGUGAGCUUCAAAAUGUAUAACAGAGAAAAUAAAUCAUCAAUGUCGACAUAUGUAUCUAAUAUAAUCCAGCGAGGCAGCCCCUCCACACAGUCUUUGCUACUAUUAAUUAAUCUAACCAUCACAAGAAUACAUAAAUACACUCACAUCUCUGUACUCCAUCUUCUCCAAAUGAAACUCUGAAGUAUUAAGUUUCAAAAUGUAUCGCCUGACAUUUAUAUCCAAGAUAAUCCAAAUUUUUGUGAAUGCCUCUUUGGGGCUAUCUUCUGUCCAUUUCCCAAUCACCAUAUCCCAAUCUUAAAUAAGGCAAAAUAGAUUGAAAAUUUUAUUUCUCUUUCAAAAUAUAUUUAAAUUACAUCUUAAACUAAUGCUGAAUCGCCCAUUCACACGAAAAUAAUAUUAUUAAACAAAUAUAUAAAUAUUUGGCAAGCACAUAAUUAACAUAAACCACAUGCCACUGAGGGAUGCACAAAAUCACAAACUUCUCUGCAAAUUGUGCUUUCAAAUCAAUUGAACCUCUCUGCAAAUUAUUGGAAUAAAGAUUGAAACUACAAUAUUUUUUGUCACCUUGAAUGGAAACGAAAGUCGAUGGAGAGCGGAAUACAAAAGUGGCAGCAACAGCGAUGCGAUGGGGGCGACACACAGAAGCGGUGGCAGGAAGAAUGGUUUUUUUGGAGAUUUUGGUAUCUUGAUCAUCACCAGAUGCGUCGUCUAUGUUGUCAUUCUCAGAUUUGAUCUCGUGCUUUUCAUCUUGUUUCUUCAGGGCCCU